rnacentral:rRNA from 1 species
AACGAACGCUGGCGGCAUGCCUAACACAUGCAAGUCGAACGAGACCUUCGGGUCCAGUGGCGCACGGGUGCGUAACGCGUGGGAACCGUCCUUUAUGUUCGGAAUAACUCUGAGAAAUUUGAGCUAAUACCGGAUGAUAUCUUCUGACCAAAGAUUUUUCGACUUGCAAUGGUCCCGCGUUGCAUUAGCUAGUUGGUGGGGUAAAGGCCUACCAAGGCGACGAUCCAUAGCUGGUCUGAGAGGAUGCUCAGCAACACUGGGACUGAGACACGGCCCAGACUCCUACGGGAUGCAGCAGUGGGGAAUAUUGCACAAUGGGCGAAAGGCUGAUCCAGCAAUGCCGCGUGAGUGAUGAAGGCCUUAGGGUUGUAAAGCUCUUUUAACCGAGAUGAUAAUGACAGUAUCGGGAGAAUAAGCUCCGGCUAACUCCGUG